AUCCUUUCUCAGUUCGUAAGUGUAGUGAUUGGGUUUUCACGCUCAUGUGUAGAUGCGACUCCCUCAAACCUUGUUACGAUAUUGGCACGUUAUCCUGCUGAUG